GACCAACUUCAAGUUGCGGAUGAUAACUGCGAGCAACGCAUCAUCAACAUCUCUUCCACUUUUAAGUAGCCUCUUUACUGAACCUUUAAUCUCAGGUGAAGCAGCAGUUGCAUAUUUAGAUCUAGCUGCACGGCGUAGAUCCGGAAUUCCAUCUUUCACUCUCAAGUCCUCAGACCGAACAUCAAUAAGUACGGCUUUGUCAUCAUUUCUCAACAGCUCUAGUGUGGAUUCGGGUGACAAGUCUCCGGAAUAGC
rnacentral:misc_RNA from 1 species